rnacentral:rRNA from 1 species
GACGAACGCUGGCGGCGUGCCUAACACAUGCAAGUCGAGCGAUGAAAUUCCCUUCGGGGAAUGGAUUAGCGGCGGACGGGUGAGUAACACGUGGGCAACCUGCCUCAAAGUGGGGAAUAGCCCUCCGAAAGGAGGAGUAAUACCGCAUAACAUGAGAGAAUCGCAUGAUUUUUUCAUUAAAGAUUUAUCGCUUUGGGAUGAGGCCGCGGCGCAUUAGCUAGUUGGUAAGGUAAUGGGUUACCAAGGCGACGAUGCGUAGCCGACCUGAGUGGGUGAUCGGCCACAGUGGAACUGAGAUACGGGCCAGACUCCUACGGGAGGCAGCAGUGGGGAAUAUUGCGCAAUGGGGGAAACCCUGACGCAGCAACGCCGCGUGGGUGAUGAAGGUCUUCGGAUUGUAAAACCCUGUCUUUUGGGAGGAUAAUGGCGGUACCCAAGGAGGAAGCCACUGCUAACUACGUGCCAGCAGCCGCCGUAAAAC